UUCUAAUUGGCUCAUUCAUCCCAAGAAUCAACAUGUGUUCACCCUUAUGCCGUUUUUAAUUAAGAGACUAAAUACAAAAAGUUAAUCCUGGAUACCAAUGUUCUAGAUUAAUGUAUUGAGGUAAACAGGUCAGAGAUGGUGGAACCCAGUGUUCUAGUAUUAAUGUAUUGAGGUAAACAGGUCAGAGAUGGUGGAACCCAGUGUUCUAGUAUUAAUGUAUUGAGGUAAACAGGUCAGAGAUGGUGGAACCCAGUGUUCUAGUAUUAAUGUAUUGAGGUUAACAGGUCAGAGAUGUCAAGGUGGAACCCAGUGUUCUAGUAUUAAUGUAUUGAGGUAAACAGGUCAGAGAUGGUGGAACCCAGUGUUCUAGUAUUAAUGUAUUGAGGUAAACAGGUCAGAGAUGGUGGAACCCAGUGUUCUAGUAUUAAUGUAUUGAGGUAAACAGGUCAGAGAUGGUGGAACCCAGUGUUCUAGUAUUAAUGUAUUGAGGUAAACAGGUCAGAGAUGGUGGAACCCAGUGUUCUAGUAUUAAUGUAUUGAGGUAAACAGGUCAGAGAUGGUGGAACCCAGUGUUCUAGUAUUAAUGUAUUGAGGUAAACAGGUCAGAGAUGGUGGAACCCAGUGUUCUAGUAUUAAUGUAUUGAGGUAAACAGGUCAGAGAUGGUGGAACCCAGUGUUCUAGUAUUAAUGUAUUGAGGUAAACAGGUCAGAGAUGGUGGAACCCAGUGUUCUAGUAUUAAUGUAUUGAGGUAAACAGGUCAGAGAUGGUGGAACCCAGUGUUCUAGUAUUAAUGUAUUGAGGUAAACAGGUCAGAGAUGGUGGAACCCAGUGUUCUAGUAUUAAUGUAUUGAGGUAAACAGGUCAGAGAUGGUGGAACCCAGUGUUCUAGUAUUAAUGUAUUGAGGUAAACAGGUCAGAGAUGGUGGAACCCAGUGUUCUAG